rnacentral:misc_RNA from 1 species
GCGAAGAGGCCCACCAGCCACCCACGCCGGGGAUCGCCCCCCCCCCACACAAAACCACAACGAACAGCCGCGCCGACUGCCAACGGCUGCUGAAAAAGAGUCCCCCGCUCAGAAAAACCCAUCCACAGCACCACUGUUCAUCAAUUCACCCCCCCCCAGACAGGCCGAAAGGCAAAAACACCCACAAACACGUCAGCGCAGCACCGCGCACAGAAAAACAGCACACCAUUAGGACCCCACCACGCCGCAGCAAAAGCGAGCCGGCAAACCCCAGCCGUCCCCAAAGAAAAAACCACCAACCGCAACGACCCAGAGCGAGCCACAAAAGCGCGCCAAAGCCGGCCGAGCCCCCCCCGGCAGCCGACCAAAGGCACCAACCGCCCCCAACAGACGGCGCCAAAACCAUUCACAACACCCCAGCUCGCCUCAAAAAAAGGAAACCAAAAAACCUUCGGCACCCCCAAAAAACAGCGGCCGCAGGCGGUACACACAGACACACGCGCCGGCCGGAUAGGCCGUCCCCUUGGCACCGGCCGCAACCCGCACCACCCCACCCCGCCCCGGGACCACCACACGCGCGGGCCGCCAGGGCCGGGCGACAAAACCCAGGAUUGCGCCGACACACGCCCGCGAACGGCGUGGGCGCCCCCAAAAAGCACCGCCCAGCACCCCACCGCCAAAACCAGCAGGGACGCGGCGCCCCGAGCCCCACACGCCGCGACCGCCCCACCCCGACGCCACCAGAGGCGGGCCGGCACGGGGGAAACAAAAGCAGCCAUCCCGCAAAAGGCGCCCCGGUGGUAAGAUUUGCGGCCGCGCCGCCUUUUGGAACACCCAGAAACCUUAGAAAAACCCGGCCCGAAGCCCCUAAAGAGGUCGCGCUGUUUUUCAAAUAACGCGACCGGGGGGGCCCGCACCGUGCGGCAUUUCCAACCUGAGAAGCAACCCUUUGUUGUUUCAAACCCCUUUCAAGCACGCCAAAAGCACACCGUUGCCGCGGGUGCCCCUUUCUCCCCGAAGCAUGGGGGGGGGGAAUAGACCAGCGCGCCGGGCCACAGAGCCCUUUAAAAGAACAGCAGUGGCAAAAACAACCGCAACGAGGAUUCCGAAAACCACCAAAGCGGACUUAGCAACACCCGGGGCGCCCACGCUUUUCUUUUCACCUAACCCAAACCAUUGCCCACGCCAAAAAGAUCAAAUCAAAAAAAAGGCCGCACAACCCUUACAAACGAGCCCGGCACCACGAAAACAACACCCCAAGAGCAUCACGCACGGUUUCCCACACCCCAAAAUACAAAAGCGCCACCCGACCCCCACGCGCCACACCUUUUCUUUUUCGAAACCCGCUGUCGCCGCACUGCGGGAACCCUCUUCUCCGAAAAAAAAACGCCCCGGAAGCCGAUUUGCAAUACCACUUUGGCGCGCCGGCAACCAAAAAUGGGAAACCCUUCCGCUUCCAAAAUUAACAAACUCACCCCCGGGUUUGCAAGAGAGAGCUAUGAAUACAAGCGCCCAGUUCUUAUCAUACUUUUUUUCCGCCGGCGAUGUAAGAGAAAGGCCCGAAGUUAUUUGAUACUUUUUUGCGCCAUAUUCCCGGCAUGGAAAACAAGCCUCGGCAGGGUCUAAAAAGAAAAGGCCCCGGAAAAGACGCCCGCAACCACCUUUUCCCCCGGGGAGCCAUAAAGAGCAUGCGGCGGCGCUGGUUGCAUUUGUGAAAAAAAAAAAACAUCUUUGCUUGGAAACAGCACACCUGGGAUGUGUUUUUCCACGGGUUUUUAACCGCCGCGAGGGAUCUUGGAAACCCCAUAUUGCCUCGCCCUUUGGGGUUUUCGGGGCGGCGGGUGGUGCCUUGUAAGGGCGACCACCCCGGGGGCCGCUUUCCGGGCCGGGGCCGCAGAAAAACGCCCAGCGGUUCCGGCAUUUCCGCCGGCCCCGAAGCAACCCGGCGCCCAAGCCCCCGCCCAAACACCCCAAAGGCCGCCCGCUUCAAAAGUUUCACACGCGCCCCGUUUGCCCCACCCCACAAAACAACCCACCGACGGAUAACGCGCGCAUUCACAGGCCCAUUCGUUCCCCCCCCCCUUUUACAGCCCCACGAAGCAAAAGCAGCCCUAGCAGAUACGCAAAUCGUAUUGGCAACAUUUGGGGCCCCGGGGGCCCGCGCCUUUGCCCCGCCCCUGCCCCCUCCGCGCCCCCCCCCUUUUUUCCGCAUGCGCCCCGCAGGGCCCUUAGUAAAAACACCCCGGGUUCGCAACCCCGGCUUUCCCGCCGGGGCUCUUUGGGCUCGCUAAUUUUCGAAAAAACAUAUAUGACCGCGCCAAACGCAGAGGCCCUUAAAGCCCCUCGCUUUUGCGAGGUUGAACGGCUCUGCCCGAAAAGGCGGCCUGCCGGCAUCUUUCCCCCCAAGGCCCCCCCCCGACCCGAGCGCCAAAAACACCAGAGGGGCACAAGGAGAACAGAAGAAAACACGCCACCCCCGCCAUGCCGAAUCUUUUUCCUUCUC